ACCGAAAUAGCUCAGUUGGGAGAGCGUUAGACUAUAGAUCGGAAAAUCCCUGGUUCAUUCCCGGAUUCCAGCA
rnacentral:tRNA from 1 species